AGGGAGCGAGUGAGGGGGGCUGGCAUGAGCGUGGAGUGGGAAACACGGGAGCAGGGUGCAUGAGCACCGGUGUCACAAGUCACUUCCGUGGCGUGGGAUACAGCCUGUCUUCUCGCUCCAGAAAGUUCUCCAGAGUCUUCCUUAACAUAAAGGACUAGAGUCAAAGAAGUGUGUGUGUGUGUGUGUGUGUGUGUGUGUGUGCAUGUUACUGGGGAUUGAUUAAACCCAGGACCUGGCACAUGCUACAAUGUGCUCCACUGUUAUGCUAUAGUCCUGCCCCUCCCCCCCAUUUAUUUAUCUAUUUAUUUAAAAUCUUGUUAAGUGGAUUAAGGAGGGCGAUUAUCCUCCUACCCUGGCUCUUCUGGAGCAGCAAGGGUGCAGGCCUGCACCACCUGGGCUGGCGCAGAGAGUGUUCACACCUCACAGAAGAAGGACUUGGGGGUGUUGGGUUAGGGUUUCCGCUCUUGACAGCGCUUCCUCCUUAAAUCCAGUCUUCUGCAAAGCCAGAGCGAACCGUGAGGUUAAAGAGGAGCCUGGAGGACCCUGGCCGCACAGCAAGGGUGACUCACGGAGAUGUGAGCAGGAGAGCCGAUCCUGUGCCUCAGGGCUGAGACAGAGGGGAGAGCAUCCCCCAGGACCAGGGCGUGCAGGGCCCGCCCUUGUGCUGCAGAGCAGAAGUCUGUAGUCCCCAGAGCUUGGAGGACAGAGGCUCCAGGCCAGCCCGUACUUCACACCUUGCACUGCCAAGCCUGGUGAUUCCAGACAGCGUCAGUGGGGAAACCUCCACCUCUGGGCAGCUGGCCCUUCUGCCCCUCUCAGGGCACAUGGGGGAGUGGGGUGAAGGCACAGAGACAAAUGAGUCCAAGUUGUUUCCUGUCUCCAGCGGUGACUGCAGGAGACAGGCACUUGAGGGAUCCUGGGUGCAAAGAGACCCUUGAGAAAGAGGAAGAGGGACAGGCUGGUGUCAGGCGCCCUUCGGAAGGAGAUAGGCUUUCCAAGACUGCAAAUCAGGAGCAAACCGUGAGAAGAGAGAGGAGGCCGGAGGACCCUCAGACAGACAGAUGCCUUCCCCUUCAUGCAGACCUGCAGACCACUGCUUCUGCCUGCUCUGCCCCUACCCUGGUGGACAUUGGCCUCUUCAGGAGCCAUUUUCCUGAAGUCUGGUGUUUACUCAUGGGGCAGGGUUAUCUCAUCCUUGAAAUCAAGCAGUGAAGUGGACAGACAGAUCUGUGCCCAUUCAACAGAUGGGGAAACUGAGGCUCCAACAAGGUUCAGGAAACUUUUCUGCUUUGGAAGCAGAAAAAGGAGGAGAAUCAUGGACUCAUUUGUCAUUUAGCCCUGGAGUGUGCUGCACUGUAGCUUCAGGAGCCUGAAGCUUCUGGGUGAUGCCCACAGAGGAGGCAGCAAGGUCCUUCAGCUGUUGUUUUAUGGGUACAUAGUCUCACCCCCAGACUCAGUAGACCAGCUUGGUGUUCCCCACAGCUAGUUAGUCCCUCCUAAGAACUAACAGGUCAUCCUGAGAAGCCUUGACAUGCACCAUGCAGGCAGGCCGAGACCCUUCAGACAGCGCCUUCUCACGGCGCGGGCUUCGCUGUUCCCCGCAGAACACCAGCUUCCCAGCAGACAAGGUCUUAGCUGAGCCAUGAACUCGGCCCCCGCCUUGGUUCCGGGCCCCAGCGAGGCUGGCCCACUCAGCCAAGCGCCGCCUGUAGGAAGGCCGGUUCUGGAGCUUACGCUGUCCCACACACUUCUCUAGCACAAGCCCGAGGAAACUGCAAGGAAACAGGAGGAAGGUCGUUCCCGGGGCCAGCCUGCUGAAGGAGGACAUGGGUGACAAAGGACCCUUAUCUGACUCAGGACCUGUCCCUCAUGUCCUCUGGGCUAGAGCCUGGGCUGAAGGGCUGUCCUGAAGGAAUGACUAACCCCUGACCACAGGCGGCUGGGGCUGGUCAAGGGCCCAGGCCUCCUAAGGACUAGCGAGCAGGGAACGCCCAGGGGCUUAGAUGACCAAGAUGCCAGCUAGUGGCCGGCUCCCCUACCGCCCCUGCAGUUUGGUCUCUCCCAGAGUCCGGAUUCCACAGAUGUCUGCCUUAGAAGGAAGCAGCGGCCUGACUGGGUUAUUUAUGUGCGAGGCCUCGCACAGUAUCUGCCUUUGUUUCACAGAGCGGCGGCACAAAGCCUGCUGGGAAGGGGCAGCGUUCAGUGGCUUGCUCAGGAAAUUGGAAAUCGGAGCCCUGGGAUGCCCCCCCCAACUCAUGCUUAAACAAACCCAACACACACCCGACCUUUGCUCCCCGCAUCUGCGGCAGGCUUUACACAGCAGCAGCCCCGUCUCCCGCCUUCUCUGCUGGCAUAGGGCUCACUGAAGGUCAGCCUACCGUCAGCUUCCUGGGGGACAGAAUCCCCAAACGCAAACCACACCAGGCUGACCUCGUCUUUGGAAAGGCUCCUGCUGUAUCUGAAGCUCCCUGAGUGACUACACGGAGCCCCGGAGCCGUGCCGCUCGCUUGUGCCCAGCCUCACGGGUACCCGGUCCAUCCACCUGGUCUUUCUGUGUAGGGUUGGCCCUUGGGAGCUCGGGACCCACUUCUCUAUCCCACCAGGACAGGCUUUACUGGUGCACACCACCACACUCAUCGUUCAAGUGGGUCCUGGGGAUCAGAACUUGGGUCCUUAUGCUCGUAUGGUGAGUGAUUUUUCUCCGUAGCCAUCUCCCAGCUCCUUGGUCUUGUUUUCAUUGCCCGUGCACUUCCCCUUUGCCCAGAGUCGCUGCCUGUCUUCCUGCUGGAGGGGCACAGCCUGGUCACUGUUGGGUGGCCUCGCCUGUCACGCUUGGGUAAGCCAGUGUUCAGCCAGGUUGCUGUUUCCCUGUUCUUCGGGGUGGCUCGCUCUGGCUCUGCUUUCUGAGAAAACAAGGCUGAACUUUGUUCGGCCAGAGCCCGAUUUCCCUGAGGUCUGCUGUUUGCUUGCCAGCCUCCAGCUGCUCACUGUUGUCCAGCUCCCUCACGCUGCUCUCUGUCUCAGCUGCAGCACCCACUUCCAGGAAGGCGGCCAUGUGGGGCCCAGCAGACCCGGCAGGCCCUGUGCUGUGGCCCUGAUCUGCUGGGCCCAGAGAGACUCGCCUCCGGGAGCUGCUAUGACACAGACCACCAUGUGGCCACUAGCUCCCGGCCACCGCCACGCUGGACUCCCUCAUGCCACAACUGACUAGACUAUGCGUUACAGCAGAUACAGAGAGAGGAACUGGCCGGCUGUGAGGGUGGGGUUGCUACCUACAGCCUGCUGUUCUUGGGAUAUGGAUUUUGGUGGGUUCUCAGCUGCAGUACCUGUCCCUCUCAUUCAGCGCAGUGGGGAGUGCUUCCCAGCCUUGUCAGCUUAACAUACAAACUGGAACCAUCUGAAAGGAGGAGCUUCAAUAGAGAAAAUGUCUCCGUGAGAUCUGUACAGCAUUUUCCUAAUGAGUGAUUGAUGCGUGUGGUGCCGUCCCUGGGAGGGUGGUCCUGGGUUCUAUAAGAAAGCAGUUGAGCAAUCCAUGGGGAGCAAGCCAGUGAGCAGCACCCUCCAUGGCCUCUGCAUCAGCUCCUGCUCCAGGUUCCUGCCCUGCUUGAGUUCCUGUCCUGACUUCCUUCAUCGAUGAACAGUGCUGUGGAAGUGUAAGCUGAAUAAAACUUUCCCUUCCCAACUUG